GACGAACCGUGCGAGCGUUGUUCGGAAUUACUGGGCGUAAAGGGCGCGUAGGCGGCCUGCUAAGUCGGAUGUGAAAUCCCUCGGCUCAACCGAGGAACUGCAUCCGAUACUGGCGGGCUUGAAUCCGGGAGAGGGAUGUGGAAUUCCAGGUGUAGCGGUGAAAUGCGUAGAGAUGUGGAGGAACACCAGUGGCGAAGGCGACUCUUUGGUCUGUAACUGACGCUGAGGCGCGAAAGCG
rnacentral:rRNA from 1 species